UACGUAGGGUGCAAGCGUUAAUCGGAAUUACUGGGCGUAAAGCGUGCGCAGGCGGGGAUGUAAGACCGGUGUGAAAUCCCCGGGCUUAACCUGGGAACUGCAUUUGUGACUGCAUCGCUGGAGUGCGGCAGAGGGGGAUGGAAUUCCGCGUGUAGCAGUGAAAUGCGUAGAUAUGCGGAGGAACACCGAUGGCGAAGGCAAUCCCCUGGGCCUGCACUGACGCUCAUGCACGAAAGCGUGGGGAGCAAACAGG
rnacentral:rRNA from 1 species